rnacentral:tRNA from 1 species
GAUGCCAAGACGGUCACCACAUAUACCCGGGGACA